rnacentral:misc_RNA from 1 species
UAAGUUUUCACACUGAAAUGCCAUGUUGAAAUGUCACUUUGUUGCAAUAAUAAGAGUAGUAAGAGUUUGUGUUUGUGAAUCUUGGUAUGCUGAUGAAUAUUUUUUGUGAUAUUCUGCUUUUUAUAAAAUGACAAGAACACUGAGCUUUUCCCCUGCAUCAUGAUCAAAUUGUUCAUACUUUAUUUUUUUGGUAAACUGCGGCAAAGUCAUUUAUAUGUAUCAGCUUGUCAGAAGUAAUGAUGCUUUUCUAAUCUUUUGGUUGUGAUCAUAGCCUAGAUAUUCUGUGUGUGUGAAAGCCUACUUAAUUGUUGGUCUUCACAAGGAAAGAAUAGCAAAUGUAUCACUCAGAUAGACUGCGCAUUACCUUUUUUCCACUUUCAGUAACAUUUUCUUUAGAAUUCUAAAUUAAUGCUUUUUCCAUUUUUUUUAAAAAUUUUGAUUUAUCAAAUGUUAGUACAGAUAUAUAUCAUAUCAAAUUUCUGCAAUGCAAGAUUGUCUUCAUAUGAGUUUUAUAGUUUUCAAAAUUAGGCCCUGCAUAUGUUAGUGGUGAA